rnacentral:rRNA from 1 species
ACACGACUCUCGGCAACGGAUAUCUAGGCUCUCGCAUCGAUGAAGAACGUAGCAAACUGCGAUACUUGGUGCGAAUUGCAGAAUCCCGUGAACCAUCAAGUCUUUGAACGCAAGUUGCGCCCGAAGCCAUUAGGCCGAGGGCACGUCUGCCUGGGCGUCACGC